rnacentral:rRNA from 1 species
UGGGGAAUUUUGGACAAUGGGCGCAAGCCUGAUCCAGCAAUGCCGCGUGAGUGAAGAAGGCCUUCGGGUUGUAAAGCUCUUUUGUCAGGGAAGAAACGGUUCUGGAUAAUACCUGGAGCUAAUGACGGUACCUGAAGAAUAAGCACCGGCUAACUACGUGCCAGCAGCCGCGGUAAUACGUAGGGUGCAAGCGUUAAUCGGAAUUACUGGGCGUAAAGCGUGCGCAGGCGGUUUUGUAAGUCUGUCGUGAAAGCCCCGGGCUUAACCUGGGAAUUGCGAUGGAGACUGCAAGGCUUGAAUCUGGCAGAGGGGGGUAGAAUUCCACGUGUAGCAGUGAAAUGCGUAGAGAUGUGGAGGAACACCGAUGGCGAAGGCAGCCCCCUGGGUCAAGAUUGACGCUCAUGCACGAAAGCGUGGGGAGCAAACA